rnacentral:rRNA from 1 species
UACGAAGGGGACUAGCGUUGUUCGGAAUCACUGGGCGUAAAGCGCACGUAGGCGGAUUUGUAAGUCAGGGGUGAAAUCCCGGGGCUCAACCUCGGAACUGCCUUUGAUACUGCGAAUCUUGAGUCCGAUAGAGGUGGGUGGAAUUCCUAGUGUAGAGGUGAAAUUCGUAGAUAUUAGGAAGAACACCGGGGGCGAAGGCGGCCCACUGGAUCGGUACUGACGCUGAGGUGCGAAAGCGUGGGGAGCAAACAGG